rnacentral:SRP_RNA from 1 species
GCCGGGCGUGGUGGCGCGCGCCUGUAGUCCCAGCUACUCGGGAGGCUGAGGUUGGAGGAUCGCUUGAGUCCAGGAGUUCUGGGCUGCAGUGCGCUAUGCCGAUCGGGUGUCCGCACUAAGUUCGGCAUCAAUAUGGUGACCUCCCGGGAGCGGGGGACCACCAGGUUGCCUAAGGAGGGGUGAACCGGCCCAGGUCGGAAACGGAGCAGGUCAAAACUCCCGUGCUGAUCAGUAGUGGGAUCGCGCCUGUGAAUAGCCACUGCACUCCAGCCUGGGCAAUAUAGUGAGACCCUGUCUCUA